rnacentral:rRNA from 1 species
AUGGACAACGAGUCCCUUCCAGCGGCCUCCUCUCCCAAGGCCAUGGAUGGCGCCGAGGCGUUGUCUCGAAGGAUCCCAGGCCAGGGAGAGACUCAGGAGGCCAUCAGGGCGGUGCUGGACGAUGAAACUUCAGCCGCCGGACACAUGGGGGAGAAAAUCUCCAUGGAUACUGACGAUGGGGGCCAUAUCCAAUUCGACCCCCAGCCGAAUACAAUUACGGAGACCUAUACGGCUCCGGAAUCAGGUAAGCAACCUCUUUCGAAAGAAAGUGUGCCUAUUCCGUCGGUGACCUCUAUCCAACCAGAGGCGCCGGGCACUCUAAUGGAAGCGCUGCAAAGUGCUUCCAUUGUUGAGGAAUGA